CCUACGGGAGGCAGCAGUGAGGAAUAUUGGUCAAUGGGCGCGAGCCUGAACCAGCCAAGUAGCGUGAAGGAUGACUGCCCUACGGGUUGUAAACUUCGUUUAUAAAGGAAUAAAGUGAGGCACGUGUGCCUUUUUGUAUGUACGUUAUGAAUAAGGAUCGGCUAACUCCGUGCCAGCAGCCGCGGUAAUACGGAGGAUCCGAGCGUUAUCCGGAUUUAUUGGGGUGAAAGGGAGCGUAGAUGGGUUGUUAAGUCAGUUGUGAAAGUUUGCGGCUCAACCGUAAAAUUGCCAUUGAUACUGGCAGCCUUGAGUACAGUUGCGGUAGGCGUCAUUCGUGGUGUAGCGGUGACAUGCUUAGAUCUCCC
rnacentral:rRNA from 1 species